UAUCCUUUAGUUGCCAUCAUUGAGUUGGGCACGUCUAAAGAGACUGCCGGUGUCAAACCGGAGGAAGGUGGGGAUGACGUCAAGUCCUCAUGGCCUUUAUGACCAGGGCUACACACGUACUACAAUGGCCGGUACAAAGGGCAGCGACACAGCGAUGUGAAGCGAAUCCCGAAAAGCCGGUCUCAGUCCGGAUUGGAGUCUGCAACUCGACUCCAUGAAGUUGGAAUCGCUAGUAAUCGCGGAUCAGCACGCCGCGGUGAAUACGUUCCCGGGCCUU
rnacentral:rRNA from 1 species